UGGGCAUUUCCACGGCGCUCAGUUCGCGGCUGCACCUCAGGAGUGAUAGUCUGAGUGCACCUUCCAAAGGAAGGCGUCUGUUGGGCCUUUGUAUUCGUCCAGUGUGAGAUGAGAGAGAGAGAGGGAACACAAGCAGGGGGAGCUGGAGAGGGAGAAUCAGGACCCUGGGAACAUGACCUGAGCCAGAGGCAGGAGCUUAAGGACUGAGCCACCCAGGCGCCCCUCGACUUCAGCUUUUACUCACUCUAGGUGGGCCCCUUGGUUGAAAGCUCCUCUGAUCCUGUCUCUUGGUCUGAGAGAGCUGAACUUAUCCCUGAGCUACCAUGUCACAUAUCUUGGAGGUAACUCCUCAGAU